CUCUAAUUAGUAAUCUAUUAAGUCCAAAAUAUAAUAAAUACAUCAAAUAAAUUGAAUGAGGUUUAAUACCAAGUCCCAAACCAACAACAAUUUCAAACAAACUAUUAAUUUUAAAUAAUAUAAGAGGGGAUUCAGCAAGCAUUGACCAGAUAUGAAGGCUAUGAAGCAUUUUCUGUGCACAACAAUCAGCAAGCAUUGACCAGAUAUUUACGACAAAAUUCACAAUAUAAAAGAGGGGAUUCAUUGAAGCCAAUUACCAAGCACCUUGUGUGCAACAACCAUCAACAAGCAUUAGCCAUAUAUUUAGGACAAAUUCAUAAUAUAAAACAGGGGAUUGAGAAUUAUGGUACUUGAAUUAAUAAACUGAUGCACAUAAGAAAGACAAAGGGAGAAAAAUAUGGGGAAAAUAAACAAUCACCUGUGAUAUUGGGGCUUCAAGUCUUCAAUGCUACAAAUGUUAUAGAGUUAAGGUUUUGGCUCAGUUUAAUGAUCCUUUGAUAAUUAUUUUGGGACAAUUUGUAGUGAUCAUAUCACUCUGUUAGAGAGGGAGAGAGAAACAUAUGAAGAUGAAGGUGGGACUGUUGAAUAUAGGGCUUCACUCGGGCUACAGCCCACCCCAGCCAAGUGUGGCUCUGCCAGU
rnacentral:lncRNA from 1 species